UCCUACCUGUUAUUGUAUAACUCCAGCCUGA
rnacentral:piRNA from 1 species